UCAAACUAAGUGUAGCAUCUCAAGUAGUGGUUGUAUUCAUAUGAAUACAACCACUACUUGAGAUGCUACACUUAGUUUGA